GAGCACAGGGCGGAUGCCUUGGCACUAAGAGCCGACGAAAGACGUGAUAAGCUGCGAAAAGCCGCGGGGAGGAGCAAAUAUCUUAUGAUCCGCGGAUAUCUGAAUGGGGAAACCCACAUGAGGACACCUCAUGUAUCCAUGCGCCAAUCCAUAACGCAUGGAAGGGAACCCGGUGAACUGAAACAUCUAAGUAGCCGGAGGAAAAGAAAGAAACAUCGAUUUCCUGAGUAGCGGCGAGCGAAAGGGAAAGAGCCCAAACCGGGAUGCGAGCAUGCCGGGGUUCGGACCGCAGAAAGGACUGCAGGAGGCAGGGGAAUGGUUUUGGGAAAGCCAGCCGCAGAGGGUGAAAGCCCCGUAACCGAAGCCGAAAGCAGCCAGGCGGGAUCCAGAGUACAUCGAGACACGUGGAACCUUGAUGGAAGACGCGGGGACCACCCCGUAAGGCUGAAUACUACUUAGUGACCGAUAGCGCAGAGUACUGUGAAGGAAAGGUGAAAAGAACCCCGGGAGGGGAGUGAAAGAGAACCUGAAACCCUGUGUUUACAAGCUGUGGAACCGCGAAAGCGGAACCGCGUACUUUUUGUAGAACGGUCCGGCGAGUUGCGUUGUCCGGCAAGGUUAAGCACAUAAAGUGCGGAGCCGCAGGGAAACCGGGUCUUAAGAGGGCCGGAGUCAGACAACGCAGACCCGAAACCGGGUGAUCUAUCCAUGUCCAGGCUGAAGCUUCUGUAAGAGGGAGUGGAGGGCCGAACGCACAUCCGUUGAAAAGGGUGGCGAUGAGGUGUGGAUAGGGGAGAAAUUCCAAUCGAACCCGGAGAUAGCUGGUUCUCCUCGAAAUAGCUUUAGGGCUAGCCUCAUGAGAGUCUGCCGGAGGUAGAGCACUGAAUUUCCUAGGGGGCGUCAAAGCUUACCGAAGAAUAUCAAACUCCGAAUGCCGGCCAGAUGAUUCAUGGGAGUCAGACUGUACGAGAUAAGUUGGACAGUCAAAAGGGAAAGAGCCCGGACCGCCGGCUAAGGCCCCCAAGUGCGUGUUAAGUGGGAAAGGAUGUGGGAUUUCAAAGACAACCAGGAUGUUGGCUCAGAAGCAGCCAUGCAUUCAAAGAGUGCGUAACAGCUCACUGGUCGAGAGGUCCUGCGCCGAAAAUGUCCGGGGCUGAAACACGCCGCCGAAGCCGCGGGAUGUAUGNNNNNNNNNNUGUACCUUGAAAAAUCCAUACAGAAACAGAAAAGACAUCAACAAACAAACCGUAAUCAAAACAUCGGGAUAUUGUAGAAAUAUAAUAUCAGACUGUAUCGGAAGAUACAGGG
rnacentral:ncRNA from 1 species